CGCAGCGCCUCUCCUAGUCUCGAUUAAGCGUUGAGGGAGCGCGUAUAAAAGAUGGAGCGUCUUAUUCUCAGUCCCACUCUGCUCUAAAUGGAUUUACGGCCCUUUUUAUCUAUUUGUUACAACUUCACACGUUUAAUCUGUUUACUGAGAAGCUGCAGCGGGUCGUCGCUGGUUAACAGGUGAGCAGAUCCAGAGAAGCUAAAAUUGUCGACCAUCACAAAGCAACAGAUGGAGGUGCACAACAGGAUAUUACCACUAAGAGGAUUCCCGUUUCUUUGCAUGUCACAAUGGACUUUUUGCAGGGACAGAGUCUUUCAUCACGACCCAGCUCCACAGGCUUACUGGAACUGAUGCAGAGUUGUCGGUUAAGCUCUGGGAAACCUACCGUGCUGCUCGCUGACCUCCUUGGCAAACAGACAACCCCGGUGGAGUUUGUUGGGAAUAACAUUAAAUGGAUUCACUAGGUGGGAUUAGAAAGUCCCACUAGUACCUUUUAGGUCUUUAACCCUGGACUUUCACUCGGCGCUCUGAGGUACGGGCCAGGCUGAGUCGAGCGUGUGCUCGCCACAGCAGCAGGCUGUUAAAACGAUGAUGCGGUGAUUAAAUUAUAAUAAAGCGUUAAAAUGCAAAAACAUUUUACUGUGACCUAAAUCACCACAAUUAAAUUUUACUUUAAAAAUCUAACAAAGAUCUAAUUAGGCUUUGUUCACUGUUAGGGAAAAAUACCAGUUUCUUGUUUUUCAUUCAGUUUUACCCAGCGCUCACUGAGAGCCGUUUCUAGCCUCACUACAGAAGCAGCAGCCAUGUAAACCACCUAGAAACUACUUUAUUAUUAGCUAAGUCAUAAAUCUCAAAAGUGUGGUUAAAAAUCCACGUGGAAACAGGAGGAACUGGUGUUUUUGUUGGGAAAAGAAUCCGUGUUGGGGAGAAACACAAAUCAGCAUCCCUUUAAAGCAGCAGUGUGUAGUUUCCUGGCACUGGGGGGCAGUACUCACACUUCAGGGUAGUUGUACACCAUAUCGCCGGGACCAUGGUACCUGUGGAGCAGAAAGCAUGCAACCCCGUCUUGACUCCUCAGACUUUGAUGGUCCUUCAGUUAAUCCAAUGAGAGAAUGCAAUGCUGGUUGUAGUUUCCGUGGUUUUCUACCAGGCGCGUUGCAAGCUUUUCAAAAGUGUGAGUGCUGAAACCCCCACGGGUGCAACGCCCAUGUUUUCUACCCUUUCUCAGUUUUACUUUAUUGUAUAUUUUAAAUUUCCAGUUUAUAAGUAAAAAUGUAAGGGUGUUUUUACCCAAAGAUGAGCCUUCACUAGUGGACUUAAAGGUUUUUCACAAUUCAGUAAAAGCCAAGUAGUACGUUCUAUUUGAUGAUUUCAUGGUGUGCAGAAGCUGUUAGGGAAAAUGAGGGCUUUGUUUUUUCUCUGAGGAGACUUCACCUCCUUUGUGGUAUUAUUUAAACUCAACCUUGAGAGGAAGCAGGUCAGAAACUGUGAAUCUCCAAAGGGAACCUGUAUAUUCUCCUGUGUGCAACAUGGGUUGUCUCAGCCCUUAAGAGUUGUUCUUUUCUCUGUAAGUUUAAGAAAUUGGUUUAUUUUUCACAGAGACCACUCAGCGGACCUCUUCUUUUCAUAACACUUAAACAUUUCACACAUUUAACCCGCUGAUUAAUGGAGCACAGAAGUACUUUCCUGUGUGUGAGUUAGCAGCUCUGAUGGAAGAAAAUCUGAUGGUUUUACAAGCUGUUAUACGCUUCAUGCUUUACUCAUAUGGUCACCCUGUGCUGAGGUUUGCCUGGUGCAACUUCAAAAGUGAAGUCAGCAUUCACCCUGCAGAUAAUCGUGUUGAACUCAGCCAUGAAGCUGUAUUCAGUCAGACAUGAGGUUUUACCAUGAAGACACGGUAACUUUCCAAACCAAAUAGCUUGUGGCAACGAUUCUUCUUGAACACAUUUAUCAGCACAAACCAGAUUUGGUCUGUCGACUUAAGAAAUCCUCCAACAUUUAGCCGGGUUGACUCACCGGGCAUAAAAAGUUAGGUAUUAAAAAUGUUGUGCAAAGAUGAAACAAGUCUGGCGACUUGAAGUGAAUGUCUUUGUUGACGUGUGGUUAGCGAAAUUACGUUUUGUGUUUGCGUUCGUGUAAGCGUUAACGUGCAUGUAAACGCCAAUGCAAAUGAACGUCUGCGUGGCGAGAGGAAGCAGGCGGAACCACAACCGUAGAACAGAGCAGGGAAAUAGAGCAGAAGAGCACACGCCCGCAUAAAAGAAACGUUGAAUAAUUCUGCCUUGAGACGUGUGAGGGCUGUAAAGAGCAGGGGAAAGCAUCCAGAGGUCGUUCCCAUGGCAACCUGGGCCCAGGGAGAUCACUGACCCUCCCGCCACGCAGUACAAGCAGGGCACAGAUUGUAGGUCACAUAUGGCACCAGCGAUCCAAUCAAACCUAAUCUGGCUUGACUUGUGAGUUAUAAAUUAUACUGGAAAGCUGGUUUACACUCUGGCUUAGCUCAUCAGCAGGCUCAUGUGUGAAGAUGUCUGUGUUAAUGGCAAACUGAUGCACUGACCCAAUAAAUGUGUGUCAACCAAUGUAAGUUUAGUCGUCUGGUUGUUUGGGAAAACAAGCAAACAUUGUGGUGAAUUGGCCGUCACGUAGGUAUGAAUGGGCAAACGCGUGUGGUCGAUUAUAACCUAUCCGUCACAUCGGUCCUCCUGGUAACAAAGUAUUAUUAGUUAGUUAAAACGCUGUUUUCAUGCUUUCCUGUUGGGGUUUUGUUUUUGUAUUCUUGUGUAAUUGUUAAAGUUUUGCAUGUUGAAUAUUCAGUUUCAGUGGAACUAUUUCAUUUAAGUAAUAAUGUUAUCCUGAAGUCCAGAA